rnacentral:rRNA from 1 species
UGGGGGAUAUUGCACAAUGGGCGAAAGCCUGAUGCAGCGACGCCGCGUGGGGGAUGAAGGCCUUCGGGUUGUAAACUUCUUUUGCUCUGAACAAGGCAUGCCUUUGGGGUGUGUUGAGUGUAGGGGUUGAUUAGCGCCGGCUAACUACGUGCCAGCAGCCGCGGUAAUACGUAGGGCGCGAGCGUUGUCCGGAAUUAUUGGGCGUAAAGGGCUUGUAGGUGGCUGGUUGCGUCUGUCGUGAAAGCUCAUGGCUUAACUGUGGGUUUGCGGUGGGUACGGGCUGGCUUGAGUGCAGUAGAGGAGGCUGGAAUUCCUGGUGUAGCGGUGGAAUGCGCAGAUAUCAGGAGGAAUACCGGUGGCGAAGGCGGGUCUCUGGGCUGUUACUGACGCUGAGGAGCGAAAGCGUGGGGAGCGAACAGG